rfam:Triticum urartu cultivar G1812 contig576114, whole genome shotgun sequence.
AUAUUACUCCCUCCGUCCAGAAAUACUUGUCAUUAAAAUAAAUAAAAGGGAACGUAUCUAAAUGUAUUUUAGUUCUAGAUACAUCCCUCUUUAUCCAUUUUGAUGACAAGUAUUUUCGGACGGAGGGAGUAUAAG